UACGGAGGGUGCGAGCGUUGUCCGGAAUCACUGGGCGUAAAGGGCGCGUAGGCGGCGCGGAAAGUCGUCGGUGAAAGCUCGGGCGUCAACCCUCGAGUCUGCCGGUGAUACUCCCGCGCUCGAGCUCACGUAGAGGCAGAUGGAAUUCCGGGUGUAGCGGUGGAAUGCGUAGAGAUCCGGAAGAACACCGGUGGCGAAGGCGGUCUGACUGGGGUGAGGCUGACGCUGAUGCGCGACAGCGUGUG
rnacentral:rRNA from 1 species